GACGAACGCUGGCGGCGUGCUUAACACAUGCAAGUCGAACGGUGAAGCGCUUUCCUUUUUGGUUGGUGUGGAUGAGUGGCGAACGGGUGAGUAACACGUGAGUAACCUGCCCCCUUCUUCUGGAUAACCGCAUGAAAGUGUGGCUAAUACGGGAUAUUCUGCGCCUGCUGCAUGGUGGGUGUGGGAAAGAUUGUGCCUUUGGGUGUUUUCGGUGGGGGAUGGGCUCGCGGCCUAUCAGCUUGUUGGUGGGGUGAUGGCCUACCAAGGCGGUGACGGGUAGCCGGCCUGAGAGGGUGGACGGUCACACUGGGACUGAGACACGGCCCAGACUCCUACGGGAGGCAGCAGUGGGGGAUAUUGCACAAUGGGCGCAAGCCUGAUGCAGCGACGCCGCGUGAGGGAUGGAGGCCUUCGGGUUGUGAACCUCUUUCGCCAGUGAAGCAGGCCUGCUCCUUGUGGGUGGGUUGACGGUAGCUGGAUAAGAAGCGCCGGCUAACUACGUG
rnacentral:rRNA from 1 species